GUGGCUUAGAUACCCUGGUAGUCCACGCCCUAAACGAUGUCUACUAGUUGUUGGGGUAGCAAUACCUUAGUAACGCAGCUAACGCGUGAAGUAGACCGCCUGGGGAGUACGGUCGCAAGAUUAAAACUCAAAGGAAUUGACGGGGGCCCGCACAAGCGGUGGAUGAUGUGGAUUAAUUCGAUGCAACGCGAAAAACCUUACCUACCCUUGACAUGUCAGGAAUCCAGCAGAGACGUUGGAGUGCUCGAAAGAGAACCUGAACACAGGUGCUGCACGGCUGUCGUCAGCU
rnacentral:rRNA from 1 species